ACACAUAUCCGUGCCAGGGACAACGAGCCCCAGCUUAAAACCCAAAGGACUUGGCGGUGCUUUAGACCCCCCUAGAGGAGCCUGUUCUAGAACCGAUUCCCCCCGUUCAACCUCACCCUCUCUUGUUCUUCCAGCCUAUAUACCGCCGUCGUCAGCUUACCCCGUGAUGGCCCAACAGUAAGCAAAAUUGGCAGAGCCCAAAACGUCAGGUCGAGGUGUAGCGUACGAGAGGGGAAGAAAUGGGCUACAUUUACUGACUCAGUAAACACGAAUGUUGCACUGAAAAAAGCAUCUGAAGGAGGAUUUAGUAGUAAGAGGGCAAUAGAGCGCCCCCCUG
rnacentral:rRNA from 1 species